CACGUAGGGGGGCAAGCGUUGUCCGGAUUUAUUGGGCGUAAAGAGCUCGUAGGCGGUUCGGUAAGUCGGGUGUGAAACCUCCAGGCUCAACCUGGAGACGCCACCCGAUACUGCUGUGACUAGAGUCCGGUAGGGGAGCGUGGAAUUCCUGGUGUAGCGGUGAAAUGCGUAGAUAUCGUAAGGAAGACCAGUGGCGAAGGCGGGUCUCUGGACAGUUCCUGACGCUGAGGCACGAAGGUCAGGGGGAGCAAACGGG
rnacentral:rRNA from 1 species